AAAGACCUAGCAAUAGGUAUGCUUAGGGAGGAGCUCGCGUCACAUUAGUUAGUUGGUGGGGUAAAGGCCUACCAAGACUAUGAUGUGUAGCCGGGCUGAGGAGGUUGAACGGCCACAUUGGGACUGAGACACGGCCCAAACUCCUACGGGAGGCAGCAGUAGGGAAUUUUCGGCAAUGGAGGAAACUCUGACCGAGCAACGCCGCGUGAACGAUGAAGUAUUUCGGUUACGUAAAGUUCUUUUAUUAGGGAAGAAUAAAUGA
rnacentral:rRNA from 1 species